rnacentral:rRNA from 1 species
UUAGAGUUUUGAUCAUGGCUCAGAUUGAACGCUGGCGGCAGGCCUAACACAUGCAAGUCGAGCGGUAGCACAGAGAGCUUGCUCUCGGGUGACGAGCGGCGGACGGGUGAGUAAUGUCUGGGAAACUGCCUGAUGGAGGGGGAUAACUACUGGAAACGGUAGCUAAUACCGCAUAACGUCGCAAGACCAAAGUGGGGGACCUUCGGGCCUCAUGCCAUCAGAUGUGCCCAGAUGGGAUUAGCUAGUAGGUGGGGUAAUGGCUCACCUAGGCGACGAUCCCUAGCUGGUCUGAGAGGAUGACCAGCCACACUGGAACUGAGACACGGUCCAGACUCCUACGGGAGGCAGCAGUGGGGAAUAUUGCACAAUGGGCGCAAGCCUGAUGCAGCCAUGCCGCGUGUAUGAAGAAGGCCUUCGGGUUGUAAAGUACUUUCAGCGAGGAGGAAGGCGUUAAGGUUAAUAACCUUNGCGAUGACGUACUCGCANAAGAAGCAGGGCNACAAAAA